CGGGGAAUAUUGCACAAUGGGCGCAAGCCUGAUGCAGCGACGCCGCGUGAGGGAUGACGGCCUUCGGGUUGUAAACCUCUUUCAAUAGGGACGAAGCGCAAGUGACGGUACCUAUAGAAGAAGGACCGGCCAACUACGUGCCAGCAGCCGCGGUAAUACGUAGGGUCCGAGCGUUGUCCGGAAUUACUGGGCGUAAAGAGCUCGUAGGUGGUUUGUCGCGUUGUUCGUGAAAACUCACAGCUUAACUGUGGGCGUGCGGGCGAUACGGGCAGACUAGAGUACUGCAGGGGAGACUGGAAUUCCUGGUGUAGCGGUGGAAUGCGCAGAUAUCAGGAGGAACACCGGUGGCGAAGGCGGGUCUCUGGGCAGUAACUGACGCUGAGGAGCGAAAGCGUGGGGAGCGAACAG
rnacentral:rRNA from 1 species